rnacentral:lncRNA from 1 species
AGGAUUCAUGUGACCCUAAACCAAUUUAAAAUAAAAAUAAAACAUAAAAUGCAGUAACUAGGAUUUGAAGCAAGCUCUUUCAUAGUUAUAUUCCCUCGUUUAGGUAAUAUCUGAGGGUAUAGGUUGUAUAUAUUUGAAAAUAAUAAUGGUGUUCCAGGGACAUAUACCUCGGUUAUUGGUGGGUCGAUGUGAAAUCUUUGUCAUAAAAAUUAUUAUUUGUAGUAGUGUUCACUCGGUCUUGAGGAGUUCUUAUGAGUUUU